rnacentral:rRNA from 1 species
AGAGUUUGAUCAUGGCUCAGAGCGAACGCUGGCGGCAGGCCUAACACAUGCAAGUCGAGCGCCCCUCCUUCAAGCGAGCUUGGAGGAUUGCGGAGCGAGCCUUUAGGGGCUCGCUUGAUGGAGGGGAGCGGCAGACGGGAGAGUAACACGUGGGAACGUACCCUUUGGUUCGGAACAACCCAGGGAAACUUGGGCUAAUACCGAAUAAGCCCUUACGGGGAAAGAUUUAUCGCCGAAGGAUCGGCCCGCGUCUGAUUAGCUAGUUGGUGAGGUAACGGCUCACCAAGGCGACGAUCAGUAGCUGGUCUGAGAGGAUGAUCAGCCUCACUGGGACUGAGACACGGCCCAGACUCCUACGGGAGGCAGCAGUGGGGAAUAUUGGACAAUGGGCGCAAGCCUGAUCCAGCCAUGCCGCGUGGGUGAUGAAGGCCCUAGGGUUGUAAAGCCCUUUCGGCGGGGAAGAUAAUGACGGUACCCGCAGAAGAAGCCCCGGCUAACUUCGUGCCAGCAGCCGCGGUAAUACGAAGGGGGCUAGCGUUGCUCGGAAUCACUGGGCGUAAAGCGCACGUAGGCGGAUUGCUAAGUCAGGGGUGAAAUCCUGGAGCUCAACUCCAGAACUGCCUUUGAUACUGGCGACCUUGAGUCCGGGAGAGGUGAGUGGAACUGCGAGUAGAGGUGAAAUUCGUAGAUAUUCGCAAGAACACCAGUGGCGAAGGCGGCUCACUGGCCCGGUACUGACGCUGAGGUGCGAAAGCGUGGGGAGCAAACAGGAUUAGAUACCCUAGUAGUCC